rnacentral:rRNA from 1 species
UACAGAGGUCUCAAGCGUUGUUCGGAUUCAUUGGGCGUAAAGGGUGUGUAGGUGGCGCCGUAAGUCGGGUGUGAAAUUUCGGAGCUUAACUCCGAAACUGCAUUCGAUACUGCGGUGCUUGAGGACUGGAGAGGAGACUGGAAUUUACGGUGUAGCAGUGAAAUGCGUAGAUAUCGUAAGGAAGACCAGUGGCGAAGGCGGGUCUCUGGACAGUUCCUGACACUGAGGCACGGAAGGCCAGGGGAGCAAACGGG